GCCCAGGUCGCAUAACCUGGUAUUGCGCAGGAUUGCUAAUCCUGUGUCCGUAAGGAUGUGCAGGUUCAAAUCCUGCCCUGGGCG
rnacentral:tRNA from 1 species